AUUGAACGCUGGCGGCAGGCUUAAAACCUGCAAGUCGAGCGAGCGGCGGACGGGUGAGUAAUGUCUGGGAAACUGCCUGAUGGAGGGGGAUAACUACUGGAAACGGUAGCUAAUACCGCAUACCAUCAGAUGUGCCCAGAUGGGAUUAGCUAGUAGGUGGGGUAAUGGCUCACCUAGGCGCCGAUCCCUAGCUGGUCUGAGAGGAUGACCAGCCACACUGGAACGGAGACACGGGCCAGACUCCUACGGGAGGCAGCAGUGGGGAAUAUUGCACAAUGGGCGCAAGCCUGAGGCAGCCAUGCCGCGUGUGUGAAGAAGGCCUUCGGGUUGUAAAGCACUUUCAGCGAGGAGGCGUUACGCGCAGAAGAAGAACCGGAUAACUCCGUGCCAGAAGCCGCGGUAAUUC
rnacentral:rRNA from 1 species